UGGGGAAUUUUGGACAAUGGGGGAAACCCUGAUCCAGCCAUCCCGCGUGUGCGAUGAAGGCCUUCGGGUUGUAAAGCACUUUUGGCAGGAAAGAAACGUCAUGGGUUAAUACCCCGUGAAACUGACGGUACCUGCAGAAUAAGCACCGGCUAACUACGUGCCAGCAGCCGCGGUAAUACGUAGGGUGCAAGCGUUAAUCGGAAUUACUGGGCGUAAAGCGUGCGCAGGCGGUUCGGAAAGAAAGAUGUGAAAUCCCAGAGCUCAACUUUGGAACUGCAUUUUUAACUGCCGGGCUAAAGUGUGUCAGAGGGAGGUGGAAUUCCGCGGGUAGCAGUGAAAUGCGUAGAUAUGCGGAGGAACACCGAUGGCGAAGGCAGCCUCCUGGGAUAACACUGACGCUCAUGCACGAAAGCGUGGGGAGCAAACAGG
rnacentral:rRNA from 1 species